UACAGAGGUCUCGAGCGUUGUUCGGAUUCAUUGGGCGUAAAGGGCGCGUAGGCGGCGGGGUAAGUCUGGUGUGAAAUCUCGGAGCUCAACUCCGAAAUUGCACUGGAUACUGCUCUGCUAGAGGGCUGGAGAGGAGAUCGGAAUUCACGGUGUAGCAGUGAAAUGCGUAGAUAUCGUGAGGAAGACCAGUGGCGAAGGGCGGAUCUCUGGACAGCUCCUGACGCUGAGGCGCGAAGGCUAGGGGAGCAAACGGG
rnacentral:rRNA from 1 species